ensembl:lncRNA
GCGCUACAUCAGGAAAUUAUACGACUCGCAGUGUCCAAACAUUUUAUUUUAUUAUUUUUAAACAUUUCUUGGGUUACAAACUGAUUCACAAUUGUAUAGAAUUAGCUACUGGUUGCCAAUUUUUAUUCAAGCUACAUUGUGUAGAUAGCUAGUCGUAGCUUAGUAAUGUUAUGAGGGUCGAUGUUACGGCCUGACAUUAUUAUUGGGUUGAGUCGUGGUUUCAGACGAGAGGGACACACACACACAUAUAUAUAUAUAUAUAUAUAUAUAUAUUGUUGUCCAAAUUGAAAUUGAAGGACCCAAAUUAGGUAGCUAUUGUGCUAACCCAGGGGCUAACUUAACAAUGCCAGAAGCGAACUGGCUACCAACUAGCUAGCCAAGCGAACGUACAGUAAAUUACCUAGUUAAUGUACUCCGAUAUUUAGCUACGCUAACUGUUAGCUAGCUAAGGGUUAACCAGAGUACCGUUAGAUAACUAAUGUUAGCUAGCUAACAGUUAGCUGGAUACUUGGUCUCAGGUUGCAAGUACAUUUCUAUUGAGCUACAUUAACGUGAGUUACCCAGAUCAAGGUAACGUUAGUUAUAGUUAGUUUGCUAGUCUAGUCAAACUGCAGUCACACAGGCUACACGUUAGCUGCUAGGUACAUUAAAAAAUAUAUAUUUUCGGGAACGACAACUUCAUUCAGGGGUCUGUCAUUGUUUGCCUUUCUAUCUGGGAUUUCACCGAUUUGCUUCCAUCUGUUAAACUGAGGAUUCACAAAACCUGGACAAUGACCCAUUCACCUUCAGGGUUUUUUGACUAAGAAGGAGAGUGAUGGAGUGCUGCAUCAGAUGACCUGACCUCCACAAUCACCCGAUUGAAAAGCAUUCCAGGUGAAGCUGGUUGAGAGAAUGCCAAGAGUGUGCAAAGUUGUCAUCAAGGCAAAGGGUGGCUAUUUGAAGAAUCUCAAAUAUAUUUGUUUAAGGCUUUUUUUUGUUACUACAUGAUACCAUAUGUUUUAUUUAAUUGCUUUGAUGUUUUCAAUAUUAUUCUACAAUUUAUAGUAGAAAGUAAAGAAAAACCUUUGAAUGAGUAGGCGUUCUAAAACUUUUGACCGUGUGUGUAUGUGAGUGUGUGAUAUUAUUAACACUUUGUACCUAGGCAACCUGAAAAAAGCUUUGCCCCCCCCGAGGAAGAUAAAGCUCUAUGCUUUGCUGUGGGGGUGCUUUGCUGGUUCACCCUGGUCAAAGAUCCCUAUGCUCCCUGGUCAAAGAUCCCUAUGCUCCCUGGUCAAAGAUCCCUAUGCUCCCUGGUCAAAGAUCCCUAUGCUCCCUGGUCAAAGAUCCUUAUGCUCCCUGGUCAAAGAUCUCUAUGCUCCCUGGUCAAAGAUCCCUUUGCUCCCUGGUCAAAGAUCCCUAUGCUCCCUGGUCAAAGAUCCCUAUGCUCCCUGGUCAAAGAUCCCUAUGCUCCCUGGUCAAAGAUCCCUAUGCUCC